rnacentral:rRNA from 1 species
AGAGUUUGAUCAUGGCUCAGAUUGAACGCUAGCGGCAUGCUUAACACAUGCAAGUCGAACGGUAACAGGCCUAGCUUGCUAGGCGCUGACGAGUGGCGGACGGGUGAGUAACGCGUAGGAAUCUACCUCAUAGUGGGGAACAACCUGGGGAAACUCAGGCUAAUACCGCAUGAGCCUAAGGGGGAAAGCAGGGGACCGUA